rnacentral:rRNA from 1 species
GUCUACGGCCAUACCACCCUGACCGUGCCCGAUCUCGUCUGGUCUCGGAAGCUAAGCGGGGUCGGGCCUGGUUAGUGCUUGGAUGGCAGAAA